rnacentral:rRNA from 5 species
UGAGACCUCAGGUCAGGCGGGAU